UACAGGGGGGGCAAGCGUUGUUCGGAAUUACUGGGCGUAAAGGGUCUGUAGGUGGCCAACUAAGUCAGACGUGAAAUCCCUCAGCUUAACUGGGGAACUGCGUCUGAUACUGGAUGGCUCGAGUGUGGGAGAGGAAUGCGGAAUUCCAGGUGUAGCGGUGAAAUGCGUAGAGAUCCGGAGGAACACCAGUGGCGAAGGCGGCCUUCUGGGUCGACCCUGACGCUGAGGAGCGAAAGUGUGGGGAGCGAACAGG
rnacentral:rRNA from 1 species